AAAACGUUGCUUUGGGAGGAUGCAGCGGUGAAUUAUUUCAAAUUUCACCUUUCACCCGACUAUGAUGGAAACACAUCGGAUGUCCCAACUACUGGGGAGACUGAGGGAGGAAGAAGGCUUGAGCCCAUUAGCUGGAGAACAAUCUGGGAUCCUGACAACUGGCUUUGGGGGAAUGGUAACUGGGGACACAACACAAUUCUGCGCUGUGUGUAGCAGGGAAUUCUUUUCCACUCUGGUGAAGCCAGAAUUUUUUACUUCAGUGCCAAAAAGAAUUUCAGAAGGUCCUGAGUUCAAUUCCCACCAACCACAUGGUGACUCACAGCCAUCUGUAAUGGAAUCAGAUGCCUUCUUCUGCUGUGGCUGAAGACAGUGACAGUGUACUCACAUACAUAAAGAAUUUGAUCAGUUUGAUGAAAUUUCAUUGAUGUCAACUCUCCAGCUGUCUGUGCCUUACCAAAAGCUGUUUGCCUCCAAGACAAUAAACAGCCCGUGUGAUCCUU